UACGAAGGGGGCUAGCGUUGCUCGGAAUCACUGGGCGUAAAGGGUGCGUAGGCGGGUCUUUAAGUCAGGGGUGAAAUCCUGGAGCUCAACUCCAGAACUGCCUUUGAUACUGAAGAUCUUGAGUUCGGGAGAGGUGAGUGGAACUGCGAGUGUAGAGGUGAAAUUCGUAGAUAUUCGCAAGAACACCAGUGGCGAAGGCGGCUCACUGGCCCGUAACUGACGCUGAGGUGCGAAAGCGUGGGGAGCAAACAGG
rnacentral:rRNA from 1 species